AUUGAACGCUGGCGGCAGGCCUAACACAUGCAAGUCGAGCGAGCUGCGGCCGGGUGAGUAAUGUAUGGGGACUGCCCGAUAGAGGGGGAUAACUACUGGAAACGGUGGCUAAUACCGCAUUCUAUCGGAUUAUCCAUAUGGGAUUAGCUCGUGGGUGGGGUAACGGCUCACCUAGGGGACGAUCUCUAGCUGGUCUGAGAGGAUGACCAGCCACACUGGGAAUGAGACACGGCCCAGACGCGUACGGAGGCGGCAGUGGGGAAUAUUGGACAAUGGGGGCAAGCCUGAUGCGGCAAUGCCGCAUGUAUGAAGAAGGCAUGAGGGUUGUAAAAAACUUGCAGCGGGAAGGCGUUACCCGCAGAAGAAGCACCGGCUAACUCCGUGCCAGCAGCCGCGGUAAUUC
rnacentral:rRNA from 1 species